UACAGAGGGUGCAAGCGUUUAAUCGGAAUUACUGGGCGUAAAGCGUGCGUAGACGGUUAUUUAAGUCAGGUGUGAAAGCCCCGGGCUCAACCUGGGAAUUGCAUUUGAGACUGAAUAGCUAGGGUGCGGAAGAGGGAAGCGGAAUUCCGGUGUAGCGGUGAAAUGCGUAGAUAUCGGAAGGAACACCAGUGGGCGAAAGG
rnacentral:rRNA from 1 species